rnacentral:rRNA from 1 species
CCUACGGGUGGCAGCAGUGGGGAAUAUUGCACAAUGGGGGAAACCCUGAUGCAGCGACGCCGCGUGCGUGAAGAAGUAUCUCGGUACGUAAAGCUCUAUCAGCAGGGAAGAAAAUGACGGUACCUGACUAAGAAGCCCCGGCUAACUACGUGCCAGCAACCGCGGUAAGACGUAGGGGGCAAGCGUUAUCCGGAUUUACUGGGUGUAAAGGGAGCGUAGACGGCAGCACAAGUCUGGAGUGAAAUCCCGGGGCGUAACCCCGGAAAUGCUUUGGAAACUGUGCGGCUGGAGUGCAGGAGGGGUAAGCGGAAUUCGUAGGGUAGCGGGGAAAUGCGUAGAGAGUAGGAGGAACACCGGUGGCGAAGGCGGCUUACUGGACUGUAACUGACGUUGAGGCUCGAAAGCGUGGGGAGCAAACAGGAUUAGAUACCCGAGUAGUC